CAUAUGUCUACACAUAUAAGGCGUCCACAAUAAAAGCGGAAGUAAAAGCAAGAAUAGAACAAAUGACGAGGUGAAAUAACUAGCAACUAAUGAUAUCAGAGCAAGUAAAGCUAGACAAUAAAGAAAUCACAAGUAGUACAAUAUCUGUCUCAAAAGUACAAAAACGGUGGUCUCUAAUACACUGGUAGAACUCUCAACCUCUCCAAAAUAAAACACAACGAGAGGUAGACCACCUAGCGAAUCGUCCUCAAAGGAAGCUAGCUCGAAGCAACUCCCUUCCCGCGGUCCCUAGCCUCGCCCUGAGUGGAAGGCUCUGAAAACAUCGAGAAAAAGAGGGCGUGAGAACUAUAAGCUAUAGUUCCCAGUGGGCAAUUACUGACCUCAGCUCCUGCUCCACUAGGCCCCAAAAACAAAGGUAAGCAACGAUAAUAAUAAUAAGCAAUAAGGAGCAUGUAAAUAAACUGCUGAAAGAAAGCGUGAUGUCAACCAAAAUGUACAUCUAUUCUAUCCUUACAAUUACGUCCAAUGGCACUAGUCUAAUGUCAAUAACCUUUAUCAAUGCAUGAUGCAUAAGCUCUAUCAUGGCAACCAAGUAUGCUCUAAUGCAACAAGAGACUAUCAAAUAUACUACAUGUCUCAACACUAUGCUAAAAGCAUAUAAAUGUAAUCCAACUACUAAACCUAUCUAGUAGUGAUUGACCAAUCUCGACCCCGUAUCGAUUUCCAUUUCCAAUCAAGGACCUACCAAAGGUAGUCUAGCUUGUGCCGCCUAAGUGCCUGUGGUAGCCCGACAUUCCUACUCUUGGAAUGUGUCUGUCCCACUCGACCCCGUAGGCUUCUCAAUACCGCACGAGCGAACAUAGGUCGCAUAGGCUAACUCCGGAGUGCCGGCUUGUAGGGAGCGACCCUCACAAGCAUGUGCGAAUGAGCACAAAUGGCAAGCAAGCAAAGUCCAAGUCUCAAGUAUCCAAUCCUCAUGUCUCUAACAUGGUAUAGUCACUAGCAUCCCAAAGAUCUAGUUUAUGUCACAAUGUGAAGGUUCAACCUUUGCUACGCCUAGUGCCCUUUGAUGACACUUAGGCAAUCUGAUGUUCAAUAUGUAUUUCAAAUCCCUUGAUGGCCCUAUCCACUAGGUUCACACGCGUCCCGAGCUCAAUGCCGCUUGAUGACAUUAGCUCUCUAAUUCACAUAGCUUCUAAAUGACAAUCUUGUCAAUUUUCAUGUCACAAGUAAUUGUAGGUUUACAUGCAUGAAUCCGAACUCAUUUAUACUAUAGAAGUAGGAUACCGCGUCUCAUAUAGAAUGCUAAAUGCAACCAUGGCCUAAUAAGCUACUCUCUACUACAUAGAGGUCCAAAAUUUCAUUAUAUAUAACGUAGGCCUUUUAAGCAUUCUAAAAUUCACAAUAAAUUCGUAUAACAAGAAUAUGCAUGCUUUUUCAUUUAACAACACUUAAUUAAACACACAUGAGAAUUUCUCAUUGUGUGGCUAGGUCAAACCCACCGAACCGUCGCGUAGGGUCUCGAUUCGCCGAACGAAGUUGUCCACGAGCCUCAAGAUACCCUAAAAGUGGUCAGCGAAGAGAUACGGGAGCAUCACGACCAACCGUAAGAUCAAACAUUAACCUAGGAGCAAAAAGGGCCAAAAUUUACCUCAAGAGUAGAAAUCUCUCCCAAAGCUCCAAAAGAGAGCUAGAACCCUUCCAAUCCAAGCCCUAGGAAGGUUCUAAACCAAUCAAUUUAGCCCCAAAAGCCCUAGAUCAAAAAUGCCCAAAAUUAAACCCUAAAUCUCAUUUCUAG
rnacentral:lncRNA from 1 species